rnacentral:rRNA from 1 species
GGGUGAGUAACACGUGAGCAACCUGCCCUGGACUCUGGGAUAAGCGCUGGAAACGGUGUCUAAUACUGGAUAUGAGCUCUCAUCGCAUGGUGGGGGUUGGAAAGAUUUUUCGGUCUGGGAUGGGCUCGCGGCCUAUCAGCUUGUUGGUGAGGUAAUGGCUCACCAAGGCGUCGACGGGUAGCCGGCCUGAGAGGGUGACCGGCCACACUGGGACUGAGACACGGCCCAGACUCCUACGGGAGGCAGCAGUGGGGAAUAUUGCACAAUGGGCGGAAGCCUGAUGCAGCAACGCCGCGUGAGGGAUGACGGCCUUCGGGUUGUAAACCUCUUUUAGCAGGGAAGAAGCGAGAGUGACGGUACCUGCAGAAAAAGCGCCGGCUAACUACGUGCCAGCAGCCGCGGUAAUACGUAGGGCGCAAGCGUUAUCCGGAAUUAUUGGGCGUAAAGAGCUCGUAGGCGGUUUGUCGCGUCUGCUGUGAAAUCCCGAGGCUCAACCUCGGGCCUGCAGUGGGUACGGGCAGACUAGAGUGCGGUAGGGGAGAUUGGAAUUCCUGGUGUAGCGGUGGAAUGCGCAGAUAUCAGGAGGAACACCGAUGGCGAAGGCAGAUCUCUGGGCCGUAACUGACGCUGAGGAGCGAAAGGGUGGGGAGCAAACAGGCUUAGAUACCCUGGUAGUCCACCCCGUAAACGUUGGGAACUAGUUGUGGGGACCAUU